rnacentral:rRNA from 1 species
UACGUAGGGUGCGAGCGUUAAUCGGAAUUACUGGGCGUAAAGCGUGCGCAGGCGGUCUGUUAAGACCGAUGUGAAAUCCCCGGGCUUAACCUGGGAACUGCAUUUGUGACUGCACGGCUAGAGUGUGUCAGAGGGGGGUAGAAUUCCACGUGUAGCAGUGAAAUGCGUAGAGAUGUGGAGGAAUACCGAUGGCGAAGGCAGCCCCCUGGGAUAACACUGACGCUCAUGCACGAAAGCGUGGGGAGCAAACAGG